rnacentral:lncRNA from 1 species
CCCCGUGCCAUUUCCUUUUAUUCCUCGAUUCUAAGUCGCAACUAUAAGAAGGAAUAAAAACCACCGUGGUUCCAGCUUCCGCAAUUCACUGUAUUCAAGAACCUCCCAAAACUCCUGCAAAACCCUAACAUUGAAACACAAACACUAAAAUAUUGUCAUGAAUCCCCUCCAUAUGCAUGAUUAAAGAGGCUCUUCAAUUCUUCUCCCACCAUUUGAAGAGAAAUACUUCUCCCCACUCUCCCACUUUGAACAAGUACUUGCACUGCCUCUCUCGCUCCAGCUGCAUUGAUCUCUCUCUUAAGCUUCUCCUCUACUUCAUUUCCAAAGGGUACACUCCUCAUCCUUUUUCUGUCAAUUCAGUUAUCUCAUAUUUGUGCAAUCUGGGCCAUCUUAAUUCUGCCCAGAACCUGGCGAAUUCACUUUUUCGCCUUGGUUUUUCCCUGGAUAUAGUCACUUAUACCGCCCUCAUUGAUGGGCAUUUGCGUAAUUCGGACGUUGCUAAUGCUUGUUUGACAAUGAAGGAAAUUGUUUGUAAUGAUAAUAUUGUGCCUGAUGUGGUUACUUUUAAUGUGCUAUUUAGAAGGUUUUCCAAGGAUGGAAUGGUAAAAGAGUUGCUUGCUUACAUGAGUUUGAUGUGGAAAGUUUGCAUGCCGAAUGAUGUUACUUACUGUAAUUUGAUUGAUAUGUAUUGUAAGAUGGGUGAUUUGGAUAUGGGUCUUAGGGUGUUCAAGGACAUGACAAAAGGUGGGGUUUUGCCCAAAUUUCUUGUCUUUACUUCCUUGAUUGAUGCGUAUUGUAGGGUUGGUGAUUUGGAAGUGGCAUUUAAUUUGUACAAGGAUAUGCAUGCGUGUUCAGUUUUGCCGAAUGUGGUUACUUAUGUGGCUUUGAUUGACGGGUUCUGCAAGCAGGGGAUGUUGCAGAGGGCUGAGCAUUUAUUUAGGAAAAUGGUGAAAGAUGGGGUGUUACCUAAUUCUGUUGUUUAUACUUUGAUUAUUGAUGGGCAUUUUAAGAGAGGCAAUGUGGAUAGGGCGCUUGAGUAUUUGUCUGAGAUGCUUGCUAGGGGCAUUAGACUUGAUAUAGUGACUUAUGGGGCUCUUAUACAAGGGCUUUGUGCUGGGAAUAAACUGGAAAGUGCAGUUGAGGUUAAGGAACAUAUGGUGAAGAACAGAUUGGCACCUGAUAAUAUCAUAUUUGCUACACUUAUGCGUGCAUAUUUCAAGGCAGGGAAUUUGAAAGCAGCACUAGAUGAGUACAAGGAAUCGUUAGCACAAGGGUUUGAGCCUGACUUUGUGACUCUAACAACAUUGAUAGAUGGCCUCUGCAAGCAUGGGCAUCUGACUGAGGCAAAAGGACAUUUCAGUAAAAGUAAAGCUAAUGAAGUUGUAUACAGUGCUCUUAUUGAUGGCAUGUGCAAAGAAGGAGAAUUUAGUCAAGUUCAGAUGCUUUGCAAGGAUAUGGCAGAGGCAGGCAUUGUUCCUGACGAGUAUAUUUAUACCUCUUGGAUUGCAGGGUUAUGCAAGCAAGGGGAUUUGGUUGAAGCUUUCAGGCUCAAGAACAAGAUGAUUAAAGAGGGCAUUAUUCCUGAUUUGUUGACCUAUAGCUCUUUGAUUUUUGGGUUGACAAAUAAAGGCCUCAUGAUUGAAGCAAAGCAAGUCUUUAAUGACAUGUUGGAGAAAGGAAUAAGUCCUGAUUAUGUAGUUUAUGAUAUCCUAGUUAGAGGAUACACUGUGCAGAAUGACACUGUUAGGAUUUCACAAUUGCAGGAUGAGAUGACAAAGAGAGGUCUUAUCAAGGAAACAACUGAUGUGGACAUUAGAAAGCUAUAAUUUUUUUAUGGCAAUUGCUAACUUUCAUUUGUCAAAUGAAAGCUCAUCUUGGAGCUUCCUUUGGAACAAUUUUAAUAGAUUAUGUGGGAGUCUUAUGUUUCUGAUCAAGAUAUCCACAUGAAAAGAGGUGCAAGGCAUUUUUGUACUCAUGAAUUCUGGAAAAGGCAAUUACUUGGCCUUGCAACUUCUUGUGUACGCCAUUUUUGAAAGGCAUUUUUGUACAAAUGAAUUCUGGAAAGCAAUUACUUGCCUGUACAACUUCAUAUGUACACUACUAUUGCCAUUUAGUUAUCCAUGUUGUAAGUUGUAACCAAUAUGCUACAGAAGUCAAAAAAGUUUCCUUUUCACUUCGGCAGUACCCAAACUUGCAUAUUAUUCUCACGUAUGUUUAGGUGACCUUUUAAUUUUCUAUUCACACCAGAAAGCAUAAUAAUGUUUCAAUUCAUGUCUUAGUUUUUACCUGUCAUCAGGUGACUCUUUAACACAAAUACGUGGCCACUGCUACAACUAUUCGAGUAACUCGUUCAAUACUGAGAUGAUGGGUAAGUGUCUUUUUCUCAGCAAAUUGAAAUUUUGGAGUAAGAUUUUUCUUUGAAAUGUGUAUUGUUAGGUCAUAUAUAAUCCAUCAAUUGAAUCUGCUUUCCAUAAGAUAAUGCAAUAUAUUCCUCAUAUCCUUUCUGUCGUGGAAAUCCCUCGAUAAAUCUUGAUUUCGGGCUCAGAAAACAAUCAAACAAACACCAGUUUACCUCGACUUGACCCAAGAACUUUUUUUCGUUUUGGACUGCCCAAACUCUCUCAAACUCCACAAAGGAGAAGGGAUGAUGGUGAUGAUAGGGAGAAGACGAAGCAACAAUGGUGGACUCACUCCAACAACCACCAAGCCGGCUGCCCCCUCACCUCUCUUGGCCUCCUCCCUCGGCACUCUGUCCCUCUCUCAACACACACCACCAUAAAAAAAAUGGAUGCAAGAAGAUGGCAUACAUAGGGUUUGUUUAGGUCACUCCAAUUGGGCCAAAGGUUCACUAAGUAGACUACCAAUUAACCAUAAAAAAAACGGAUGCAAGAAGAUGACAUAUAUAGGGUUAGUUUAGGUCACUCCAAUUGGGCCAAAGGUUCACUAAGUGGGCUACCAAUUAACCUAAACUAAUGGGCUAAUAUGCAACUUCAUAUUAAUCUUUAAAUAGUCCAACUAACCAAAGAACCAUCCAACCCCAACCGAGCCAUCUAAAAGUGUAGUUCGUUUCUGAGUCGAGUCAAGUCUAUGGUAUCGAUAAAUAAUCUGACAACUGUUUUAAAUUAUCGCCCGAAUUAUUUAGUAUCAAAGCCCAACACUUUCCAUGUUUUAUCUACUGCAAUAUCUUAUUCUUUUGUGUUGCUAUUUGAGCUAUGAUUAGCCAUGGAAUUAGGGGAAAGAACAAACAAAAGAUGGAAUUAAAGUUGCCAGGGAAAAUUUAUUUAGCCCCCAUUUGUCUACCAUUCUUCAAAAACUCUUUUUCAAUGGAACUCAUUUUUAACAUGUUCUCACAAUAAAAUAUUUUACAUGUAAACUUAAAACCUUUUCCUAUUUCUCAACCCCACAUUCUCUGGAAAAUCUCUAUUCCAAAACUCAUCUUCCCCCUAAAAAAAAACUCUCUUUAAUGCGCAUCAAAUAGGGGCUAAACUGGAAAUUUCACUGGAAAGAGCAAAGAUCCAUUUCAGUGGUACCUUCUGCGCUGUAGUCUUGUGAACAAAUAGCUAUGUCUGAUAAUUUACGUUUCUGAAAGAGGAAAGCUUUACAUCAGUAUAGCUGUUUUCUCUUGGCAUUUUGCCUUCGAGACAGAUAUCAGCAUAUUUAUUCACGAAAAAUUUUGAUCUAACUUGUAUGAUUUGGUAGAUGCUGAUAGACUUUCAAUCACAUUAAGCUUCUGAUUUUAUUUUUUAUUUUGUCACAUUCAUCAGGAACUGUUUCGCGCGGGUUAGUCGCUAAUAAUUAAAAAGGAUUAGACGAUUGUGUAAGGGACAAACCUCUUGAGACAAAGUCCCAAAAAUGGGUGUUCUAUUAUUGGCGAUGAUUUUAUAAUUGGAAGUUAAAAACAAUGUGCCUCCAAGGGGCGCAAGUACACGAGUUACUGAAAGAAAAAUGUUUAAGUCUAAGCUAAAGAAAUUAAAAUUACAUGUUCUCUAUUCGAAAGUUUUUGAUUUCGGGCCUCUGCUCUAUGUUUUUUCUCCCUUUUAUACUUCACAGACGAUCUCUUUGUGAUCAACCGUCUAAAAACCACUUGAUCGUCCUAUAACUGCCCACUUUCCUCAUAAUGACCAACUUAUCAUGAAAACUGCCUUUUUUAACUGCUUCCAUUUCUCCUCGUCGUUCAACCGCUUUCGAUUGAAUUCCUUGAAUAGUGGAACGUGAUAGAGCUGCUUUAAUAACUGCUUUGAUAACGGCACGUCUUGAUAACCACAACGCUUUAUAUUUGUUAAGACCUUGGGCGAUUUGAAGGUUUGGGCGAGAAUAGAGUAACAGCUCUAGGCGACUGUAUGACACUCCAUUCGCUCAGAUUCUGGGCGACUUGCAAACUUGGGCGAUGGCUUUACCGCGUUCUUGGGCCUUCAUCUUGACUUGUUCGAUUGAGUUUCGUUCUUUGGGCUAUCUGAUUUGGGGAUUCUCCAAUUGGACUUCACUCCUUGGCCCGUUUGAUUUGGGCUGAAUUUUUAUGUGUCAACAAUUACCCCCCAAUAUAGCAGAAUUAAUAUUAAUUAUUAAAUUUUGCCAUAUUCACUUUGUGUUUCCAGCAAUAUUCGAAAUUCUCAAGAAUUUCAAUCAUUGUUUUCUUCUAUAACUUGAAAAUGUGCGUCGUUUUGCAAACCCUUAUAACCCCCAAACACGCAAUUUCACUGCACCACUAAAUCACGCCUCAAAUUUUUCGCGUCUCUCUCACGAUUUACUGUUCAUUCUUUGCUUCCCUGCUACGUAACCCUGAAAAACUUCGUUCCAUCUCAAAUGGCUACUUCACAAUCUCAAGCUGGCGACUCCUUUAGUUUCGAUGAAUUUCAGAAACUCCUGAGUCGUCCAUACAUAACUCCGAGUUUUCUCUCUCCCGUCGACGUUGAACGUAAUGAGUUCUACUUGGGGUCCUUUCUUCAACAAUGCAGAGGCAGUUGAACAGGUGGCGGUGGGCCAGCUGUUUCCUUGCACUCAAGGCCCUCCAUUUCUGAACUCUCUACCGCUGGGGCCACUUUGCGAAAGAGGUAUUUGCACUUGGCCUAAAUCUGAUGUAGCUUUCCGUAGGUGGCAUGCUCGCCUUGUGGGUCAUGGUCCUACUAAGGCACUUUUUGAUAGCGGUAGGAUUUUUGAUUUGUUAGAAAUCUCUAUUCGCCCCCUACUUUUGAUUCAGCACUCUUUUUGAUUGCUUUGAGUUUUUGGUCUCCUGAGUAUAACACCUUUAUUUUCCCUCUUGGUCCCAUGUCUAUUACCUUAAGGGAUGUUGGGGCCCUGGUGAAUCUACCACCUUUGGGUGAUACCAUUUUUUCUGGUAUCUUGGUUUCUGGUGGCGCUCUAAAGUUUGGUAAAAACUACACCGAUUCUUAUUCAAGCCUGCAAACCCUUCACAAUCAUUCGAGCGCUGAGCCUUCCCAUACUGAGCGAGUGGCCUUCCUUCUAGUUUGGCUUUGUAAAUAUGUUUUGUGUGUGCCAAGCAUAAAGCUCUCCCUGAAUUAUUUACUUAUAGCGCACGAAUUGGAGCGUGGCAGGCCUUUGAAUUUAUGUUCUUUGUUUUUGGCUGCCCUUUAUAGAGGCAUGACCUCUCUUCAAGCUCAAUUGAAGAAUGGUGUAUCUCCCACUGGCAGUGGACCUCUUUGGUUCACUCAACCGUGGUUGAGAUCCUAUUUUCCAUUGCUUGGUGCUCCAUCAAUCUCUCGCUCCUCUGCUAGCUGUUAUGGGCUAGCCAUGGAGCCCUUAGCUCCUGUAAAUAUGUCCAGAAUGGACAUUUUUUUAUUUUUUUAUUCUUUGGAUUCAAUUCCUUCCUUUUUUCCUUUUCCUCCUUUUUUGACUCCAAACUAUGUACAUCCCCCUUCCACUAUAGAUAGUGCGAGCACCUUCUUGCUCAUUUGGAUCCAGUUUUUAACCGGGAGGGAGCUAUUUCAUGAUAUUCUAACUGGGACCAAUGCCAAGGCGGGGGUAGAAAUUUAUGCUCCCCAAUUUUUUGCUCGUCAGCUUGGUUUCAGCCAAAUUUGGCCGGUUCCUCCUUGCUAUUCAAGGAACUUAGUUGACCGUUUUUAUACCAUUAAUAAGGCGGAGGCGGAGGCAGAGGCCAUAAAUGCUCGUAAUCUUCUUUUAACCAGCCAUUUUUCAUUAGCCCCCUUCAAUUCUAGUCACGCCAUUCACCCUCUUUUUGAACAGCUCUGGCCGUCAGCGAAGCGCAGAUUAUUUGCGACUGACGCCAAUUGUGCCUUUCAUUCAUUAGACCAACUGAACAUUUCUUCUCCUCCUCCUGUUUUAGUCACUCCCUUGUCCAUUCGGAGUCCUUCUCCUUCUCGUCGCAUUAAACAGUCUGCUCGUCCAUCUUCUUCUCUCCCUGCUAAGCCUACUAUGGCCAAGAGUGCCCCCAAGCCGCAAACGGCCAGCCUCAGCAUCUCCCAUUCUGGAGGAUGAUGUUGAUGAUGAUGCCCCUCUUAUCGUCAGGAGAAAUGUAAUUAAAUUGGUUUACUCACAAGUAUACUUUUCCACACUUGAAACUUUUCUGUGUGCUGGUGAUCUUUUGGACUUCUCAGAAAAGCUCGGCCUUUCCUUCAAAGGCUUUGACAUCGACAGCUCCUACUCCAUCAUCCUCUGCUGAGGCUACUUCAUCCAAACCGGUUGAUGAGGGGGCUACGCUUAAAGAGACAUUUUCAGUCCCGGAGUCCUCAUCACAACCUAUGGAUGAGCCACCUUCUUACCAGGGCGUCAACCCCCCAAACAUUGAAGCAGAAGGUAAUUCAGUCUUUUGAUGUCGUACCUUUGCCUGUGCUGUUGGUUUCUGAUUUGUUGCUCUUGAGUUUUGCAGAUACUCCUAUGAGUCCGCCCGUUGUGGCAACAUCUUCUCGCUCAGACAAGGGGAAGUCCUCACGAAUGGAGGAGUCGUUGGUGGCAAGCUUGGCUGAGGGCAUGCCAUCUUCUACGAUUGUUGAUGAGGUAGUCUUUGCUUCACUUUUAUUUCUAUCUUGUUCGUUGUAGUGAGGAUCUUUAAUAUUGGCAAUUUUCUUUGCAGGAUGCUGACAAAAUUGUGCGUUCUAUCCAAGACUUGUUCGCUUCCUGGGGGCAAGUCCAAACGUCUCGCCCUCCUCCGUCUGAUCAUCCUGCUGCUUCUUCAGAGGAAGAUUUGAAGUUCCUCAAGGAGUCGAUAUUUGAGUACGUAUCCUUCAUGGAUAUGGAUAUUGGAAGGGCUAGUGCUGCCAGACACAAGGAUAAACUUGAGCACUUGAGUGNCAGCCGUUUUCUCCCUCCCCUCUCUUCCCAUGGUUUCUUCUCCUCUUCUCCCUUCUCUCUGUUUCUCCUCCCCGUUCCUUCUUCUUUCUUUCUUAUUCAUCCUACAUCAAAAUGGAUGCAAGAAGAUGGCAUAUAUAGGGUUUGUUUAGGUCACUCCAAUUGGGUUAAAGGUUCACUAAGUGGGCUACCAAUUAACCAUAAAAAAAACGGAUGCAAGAAGAUGACAUAUAUAGGGUUAGUUUAGGUCACUCCAAUUGGGCCAAAAGUUCACUAAGUGAGCUACCAAUUAACCUAAACUAAUGGGCUAAUAUGCAACUUCAUAUUAAUCUUUAAAUGGUCAAACUAACCAAAGAACCAUCCAACCCCAACCGAGCCAUCUAAAAGUGUAGUUCGUUUUUGAGUCGAGUCAAGUCUAUGGUGUCGAUAAAUAAUCCGACAAUUGUUUUAAAUCAUCGCCCGGAUUAUUUGGUAUCAAAACCCAACGCUUUCCAUGUUUUAUCUACUGCAGUAUCUUAUUCUUUUGUGUUGCUGUUUGAGCUAUGAUUAGCCAUGGAAUUAGGGGAAAGAACAGACAAAAGAUGGAAUUAAAGUUGCCAGAGAAAAUUUAUUUAGCCCCCAUUUGUCUACCAUUCUUCAAAAACUUUUUUUUAAUGAAACUCAUUUUUAACAACAUGUUCUCACAAUAAAAUAUUUUACACGUAAACUCAAAACCUUUCCCUAUUUCUCAACCCCACAUGCUCUGGAAAAUCUCUAUUCCAAAACUCAUCUUCCCCCUAAAAAAAAAACUCUCUUUAAUGCGCAUCAAACAGGGGCUAAACUGGAAAUUUCACUGGAAAGAGCAAAGAUCCAUUUCAGUGACACCUUCUACGCUGUAGUCUUGUGAACAAACAGCCAUGUCUGAUAAUUUACGUUUCUGAAAGAGGAUAGCUUUCAUCAGAAUAGCUGUUUUCUCUUGGCAUUAUCCUUCGAGACAGAUAUCAGCAUAUUUAUUCACGAAAAAUUUUGAUCUAACUUGUAUGAUUUGGUAGAUGCUGAUAGACUUUCAAUCACAUUAAGCUUCUGAUUUUAUUUUUUAUUUUGUCACAUGCAUCAGGAACUUCGCUAAAUCAUGCCGCCAUCUUCAAAAUUCGUUGGAAAUCCACUGAUCUAUACACAGUGAUACUCGCUACUUCUCACCACAGCUUCAAAUAGUAAUGCUGUUGCCCACUUAAAUGAGUUCCAAAUUACCCUAAAUUUUGGUGUGAAUUAUUCUUGUCUGCGUGCAUGACGAGGAACUUCAUGACAUCUCUAGGAACUCUCAAA